GUACAGAUACAUGAUAAGGGAAUAACGUUUAGUGCAAGGUAAAGCCAGUAAAGUCCGGUCAAGGAUCGUCUGAGGACAACCAAAGAGGCAGAUAGUAGUUCAGGACCGUUCUCUGGUUGUGGUAGGA